rnacentral:rRNA from 1 species
UACGAAGGGUGCAAGCGUUAAUCGGAAUUACUGGGCGUAAAGGGUGCGUAGGCGGUUCGUUAAGUCUGUCGUGAAAUCCCCGGGCUCAACCUGGGAAUGGCGAUGGAUACUGGCGAGCUAGAGUGUGUCAGAGGAUGGUGGAAUUCCCGGUGUAGCGGUGAAAUGCGUAGAGAUCGGGAGGAGCCUCCGUGGCGAUGGCGGCCAUCUGGGACAACACUGACGCUGAAGCACGAAAGCGUGGGGAGCAAACAGG